UGUGCUUUUGGUCUCGUGCGUCUGAAGUGGGUAAUUCUUAUAUUGGAGACUUUCUCCGUUUCCUUUGUCCUCUGCCUUUGAACUUAACCCCGAAUGGGCAGCUUGACAUAGAGGUUUCGAGUUCUCUGUGCGCUUGGAUCCGGACACGCGCUAUUUAUGGGGCAGCCCUGAGUGUGUCAGAAUGUCCCAACCGAACGUGGGCGCUGGAUUUAAACAGUUGGCACCGGUCCGCCUGUGCCUUCUUGGGGAGUCUGUUGCUGGGGCAGGAGGUCUCAGGCCCUCUGCCUCCUGUUUGUCCUCUCAUUUGGAAAGGAGGAAGCUGGGCUGGGAAGCCUAAGGAGGACUCGAGGUCAUAGCUUCUGGCUUAGGAAGACCAGCGGGCAUAGCUCAGGUGCCUUCAGAACCGCUGAGGAAGAGGAGACUUCGCUUCCUUCAGUGACCUCUUUGCCACCUAGGCCUUGAGGAAGGAAGGGCCCACGAGGAAACCCUGAUUUUGGAAGGAUAGUGGGAGAAGGCCCUCUCUUCUCUUCUCCGUCCCUCCUUAUUCUCUCUGUCUCUCCUUUUGUCUCUCCCACACUUUCUGGGUCUUUAUUUAUGUCUCUCUGCAUUACGCUAUUAGUCGUUUUUAUACUGCUGAUAAAGACAUAUCUGAGACUGGGAAGAAAAGGAGGUUGCAUUUUUUUUUUUUUUUUUUUUUUAAACAGUCUCGCUCUUGUUUCCCAGGCUGGAGUGCAGUGGUGCGAUCUCAGCUCUCUGCAACCUUCACCUACCAGGUUCAAACGAUUCUCCUGCCUUCGCCUCCUGAGUAGCUGAGAUUUCAGAGAUGGAGUUUGACCCUGUCACCCAGGCUGGGAUGCAGUGGUACGAUCUUGGCUCACUGCAACCCCUGCCUCCCAGGUUCAAGUGAUUCUCCUGACUCAGCCUCCCGAGUAGCUGGGAAUACAGCCAGCUGCCCAGUUGCUGGAGUCUUCCCUGCACUGCAACGUCCAAGACGCACCUUUUUCAGAGGAAGGCACCGUGGAGGACACUUUUCACGGAAAAAUGUGCUCCUUGUGGACUUCUGUGGCCUUCUGCCAACGACAGCUUGAAAGGAGAGCGGCAGAGGCAGUCUCUGGGCCCCAGACCCGAUAACUCUGCUUUUGGGGUGGGUACUGCCAUUGUCCACCCAGUGGCUGUCUCAACCCUUCUACCUUGUACCUCGUGAUUCAUUCGUGUGGUCAGUUAACAAGUGAGCGCAAAGCGAAAACGUUUUCCAACACUUAAAAAUCAAGGAAAAAGAAAGGGAGGGCCAGCUAUGGUUUUUCCACUCAAAACACUGAGGAAUGAUGUCAAAUUACGUUUGCAGUUUUUCAGGGAUAUGCUUAAUCAAAGAAUAUUGAACGCAGUAAGAAAGAGAAGAAAACACUCUUUGAAGCAAGACAUUGGAUUCCAUUUAUUGAUUUAUUCAUUUAUUCAUUCAUCCGUCCUUCCCGAAGUGCGGGGAUUACAGGCAUGAACCGCUGCUCCCUGCCCGGAGAUUCCAUGUAGAGAUAUUUCAAUAGAGAUUUACAAUCUGGGGGGUGGGGGGAACCGACAGGAGAGAAGUCAGCAUCCGUGCGGCCGUUAUUUUUUGCGCUAAACAUCACGUGGUUCUCUUGGCCUUUGGUUUUCUGUAUUUUCCAAGCUUGGUUUCACCAUGCUAAAGGCUCUUGAUAGGUUUCCAGGCUACAGGAUGCUUGGGGAUCAAAACGGCAUGGAGUUGGAAUGUUUGCAAACCUCACUGCAGAGCCAAGCCUCCCAUGGGCAGUUUGCAUUUUCCCAGUAGGAAGCCGCCUCCCUUCUCCUUUAAGUCCCCUAGGUCUCAGUUUCUGCGUCUGGCCAAAGGGGAUGACAGUGAGGAAGGCAAAAGUGGCAGCUGGGGCAAAGCAGGAGGCAGCCAGCAGCGGGGCUCCGCAAAAAAAUUACUCGCGGGCUGGCCCAGACGCGUAACACUUUUAGGUGAUCUCUGUGGGCCGUAGAGCGUCGGGCGGCCGGUUAGCUCAAUUGGUGAGCUCUUGGUGCUCAACACCCCAAGGCCGCAGGUUCGACUCUAGGCUGUCACGGUGUGUUCCCCGGGCAUGCGAGCUCGACUCCCGGUUUCACGCCGGCCGCCCCAGUGUUUUUUUUUUUUUUUGGUCUGUCAACGGGCCUUUCAACUACCGGAAGCCGCCUGCGGGCAGGAGCAAACUGCGGAAUCCUUGGACUUGGCCCAGAGGUUGUCGAGGGCAGCCCGCUGCGGAGAGCGGGAGGAACGUGGUGCGCGCAGGCGCAGUGGGUCCUCACCGAAGUCCCCGUAGCUGGUGCGAAGGGAGAGAGGCAGCCGCUGGCGCAGGCUCAGUAAGGAUUCGCUCGUGGGCCGGGGCGCGCUUGAAGCCCUUUUAGAGGCUCCAGUGGCCCCGCCCCGCGCCGGGCGGUCGGUUAGCUCAGUUGGUAAGAGCGUGGUGCUGAUAACACCAAGGUCGCGGGUUCGACUCCCGCACCGACCACAGUUCGAGCUUUUUUUCCCCCUCCCCCGACCCACGAACUGGUGAUAGAAGCCUUUGUGAAAAUGCGCCUUUCCGGUAUUGUAAGCGGCAUGCGGGCCGGAGCGGAUUGCCAGAUCUCUUGGACUCGGCUGGGAGCUUGUGGAAGGCUGCCUACUGGGGAGAGCGGGAGAAACCCUGUGUGCUGCAGGGGCACCACCUCCCCACCUCAGUCUCUGUCCCCGCCGCCCCCGGUGGGGCCUGUUUUACAACACCUUUGCUUAGGCCUUUGACGUUUCUGGUUUUCUAGGGGCCUCGGGAAAUCCGAAUACAUGCACAUCCCCAGCCCCCCGCCUCUGCCCCCAUCCUACCCUCCCCGCGCGUUUCCUGAAGCUGAGGCUUGCCUGGAGGAACCACCCAGUGAAGACAAGUGCUCCCAGAUGUCACGUCACCGCCUGGUGUUCCCUGGGCCUCCUUCUGGGGUACUGUUAGGGUUGAAAAUCCAGCUGGGGAAUGCACGCGUUGCACAGGUGCCUAGCGAGGGCUCCCGCGUGCCCAGCACCGAUCUAGACGGGGAGCAAAACGGUAAGUGGGACACAGAUGCCACCCACGUGGAGACAGUGACCAGCCAGUAGACGACCCGCCAUGUUUUUAGAGAGGCGUUGUGGUUGUGGAAGCCUCUGGCUUUUUUUUUUCCCCCUCAUUUCUUUUCAGAGACGUCUUCGGCUUUUCGUUUCUUCCUCUUGCGUCUGCAUUUAGCAGCCCGAGCAAGUGGAUGAAUUUCUCACUGCUGGAUCAUGUUUCCUGGUGGUCAGGGUUUUCAGGUGAAGAAACGUCAGUUAUAUAGGGUCAAUCCCAUUUUAUUGCAGGAUCCAGCAUGGCCUUUAGCUGUUUUUGAAAAUUCUCCGGUAGAAAUGUCUAGUAGCUCUUACCUAAGUAAGUAGCAGCUCCAAAUCUACACACCACUGGCUUAAGCCCUUGGUAUGCACCCAGGUUGUAGUAAAAGUUCUCAAUACAUGCCGGCGGAUGACGCUGCAAUUAUAAGCAAAAUUACAAGAGCCAGGCUUGGCCGACACCUAAAAUAGAAACCUGUACACAAGUUGGAUAUCACAUCCUGUAAUAGUAAUGCCUGGCACCUUGUUAUAUGCAGGAACAGAGCACGGAGGAUUUGGACGUUGCUGUCCUCAAGUUUCCUGAGUUUGAAGGACUUUAGAGCAUGCCACGGUGGCAUGAGAAUUAUUUUGAGCAGAAGGCAUUUGAAUUCCUGAGAUCUGUUAUCUGCUGACAAGCAGACCUUCCCAGAAGAUCUCAAAAGAACUCAAUUGUCAUAAAUCUCUUCUUGGGAAGCAACUAGGAAACACUGAUGUGGCCCCGGCGCAGUAGCUCAUGCUUGUAAUCCCACCACUUUGGGAGGUCAAGGCAAGUGGAUCAUCUGAGUUCAGGAGUUGGAGACAAACCGGGCAACACAGUGAUAUGCAUUGUCCUAGGCCCACCCACAAACGUUUGGAUUUUAAACGUUUCUACUAAAAAUACAAAAAUUAGCUAGGCAUGGUAGUACAUGCCUGUAGUCCCAGCUACUCCUCCUAAGCCCAGGAGUUUGAGGUUGUGGUGAGCUGAUUUCAUGCCACCACACUCCAGCCUGGACAAUAGAGUGAGACCCCCGUCCCCCCAAAAAAUUGUAGUAAGAUAUCCAUAACAUUAAAUUCACCAUUAAAAAAUAGCAGGGAGCAGGGAACAUCACACAGUUGGCUGGGGUAUGUUGGGGGGUGGCAGGCAAGGGGAGGGAUAGCGGGGUGGGGGAAGGUUGGGGGGGGUUAACAGUGGGAGAAAUGCCUGAGGUAGGUGAUGGGGGUAUGGAGACAGCAAACCACCAUGGCAUGUGUGUACCUAUGUAACAAUCCCGCAAUAUCUGCACAUGUAUCCCAGAACUUAAAGGACAAUUUUUUAAAAAGCAGGGAGCAUUGUGAAUGCAAGGUAUUGAUGAGGAGGGUGGUGAUCUUCCAGAACCUUCUCUGACAUCAGCCUGGCCCUCAUCCCUACCUUUUCUGGCUUCAUGGUGCUCAUCAUACUGUGCUACAAGUGCCAGUUUCCUCCUCACCUAGACGGUAUACCCCAGAGUGGGGACGGCUACUCACCCACCAGGUGCUUAAUAAGUGUUGGCCAGUGGACCUCCUGCUCUCCCUGGGGAGAGGAACUGGAACAUGUGUACACACCUGCAGCUGCAAGACUCGGUUGGGAGGGUGCACAAAGAGCCUCGACCCUGUAAGAAAGAGAGGUGGUCAGGCUGAGGAGGACAGGUCACUGGAGUUGGAUGGGUGGGACAGACGUGGAGAGGGCGGGUUCAUUCGUUUGUUCACUAAUUCAUGUAUUGGCUUCUAUGCAUCCAUCUUUCAUGCCUUAAGCAUGCGUUCUGGGCAGGGCCUGUGGUGGGCACCGAAUGAGUAAUAUAUCAUCUCUCCCUUCAAGAUGCACCCAGUCUCGGUGGGUGAGGGGAGAUACAGCAGCGUGACAUGGGAACAAUUUGGGGGUUGGGAAGCACUCUUGUUAAAAAUUCAAACUUUGGGUCCUGUCUCAGAUCUUUAAUCCAAACGUUUGUGGGUGGGCCUAGGACAAUGCAUAUCCAGACAGGAUCCUUCACUGAUUGGGUUGCACGAUGACGUCAGAACACUUGGAUAACUUUUGGGCCAAGUACUUUGGAACCUCAAAGAUCUCCGCCUAGGAGAUCCGGGUCAGCCCCCGGAGGAGGUGAAAUCUGAGUGUUAAACCCAUCUGUGGCGGGCAAUGAGAAAAUAAGGUGGGUCCGCUCUGCUGAUCAGCCUUAGGCGCCGUAGCACCUGUCGGCUGCAGCAGGGCUGGCUCCCCGACCUUCCCUGCCAGGCCAGAUCGCCUUCCGAGGUGUUUUGGCCUGCGGGGCACUCGUCGCACAGUCACCUGGGUUCCAGUUUCCGCCUCGGCCGCCAUGGCCGGUCAGCGCCAGGGGCUGGGGCAGCGUCGCACACGUGGCCCCACAGGACACCGAGCAGGUGCGGCGAGUCCUGAAGCAUGAGAUGAAGGAGCGGCCACCGCCGCCCACCCCCUUCGUGCUGCAGGCCGCAGCCAUGCAAGUCGUCCUCCAGCGGGUCCUUGGCGCCGAGCCCCUGUGCCCGCCACACCUGCUGCUGCCCCAGGUGAGGCGCCAAGAGGGACAUGGGGAAACUGAGGCCCAGCGACGGGGUGAGCUCCUUGGCUGGGGAGGCCAGUGUCCGGCCCGGGUCACAACUCAGGGCGUCCCGAAGUUGAGCUCCUUAGGGAUGGCGUUCGGUCCCGCUGCCACUGCCCUGGCAUUUUCACCCCAGGAGCCUCACUUGAGCCUUUGCUCACGCUGGGCCCUCUGCCUGGGACUCUCUCCACAGCCCUGCCCAGCGCUCCUCCGUGCUGCCUGGCUCUUCUUACAUGCCUUGGACCGCUUGUUCCGCCUUCGUGGAGCACUCAGAGACGGGGUUCCCGGCACUUCCCACUAAGUGCAGGAUGUGCCGCCUUGAACACACUUCAUGAACGAGUAUCAGGCAGAUUCUGGGAGUGACGGGGGGGCUGCUUUAGAGUGGCUGGUCCCUUAGGCCAGACAGUGCAGCUGUGACCUGAAUGAAUUCAAAGGAACCAACGUAGCUUUUCAGGUCUAAGGCACAGCAAGUGCCACGGCCCAGGCUUGGAACAAAGUGAAGCACAGUAUACUAGACUAGUUCACUGCAGGACUUACCACCCUGGGUGGCGGUGACUGAUGCGGAAUGUUUGGGAUGUGUGAAAGCACUCUAUUACCAAACAUCCUUUCUCAGUGGGUUUGUUUCCUGGGCCACACAGCUUUUGGCUGCGUGGGGAGCUGGAACUAGAACACGGUCUCCCAAGUCCUGAAGCCAGAGGUCCUAUACAGCAUCUGGAAAAUUCCAUCCCAUUUCGGCGCUGGGGUUGUAAAUAAUGUUAGUCUCAUCCCAAAAUUGCUCUUCCACUGGAAGAAAUGGGUUAGAGAAUAGAAUCCGCAGUCUUCACUCCUGAGCUUGUUUUUUUACUUACGAUUUUAGCUGCCUGGGGUUGUAUCCAGUUGAUCAAGAGUGGAAAGUUGUCUUGCUAAGGUUUAGGAAGACGAGUAUGAUUCUGCCCAAAUGCCACACUAUCUAGAAGUGUGACCUUGGGUAACUCGACCUUUUUAGACGUUGGUCUGGGUGAGAUGGCUGCAAGAUGCCAUCCAGGGGCGGCCAUCUGGAGAGCCUCUGUUCUGUGCCGGGCACCGUGCUGGGCUGCUUAGCUUGCAGUUCUUUUUGUUCCAGCAUUUCACAGGUGGGAAACAAGCUCAGGGAGGUAGAGUGGCUCUCCCCAGCCCCUGUUCUCCCCCCACACCUUGCUGAAUGUGGCUGAAGCUUUUGGGUUUGGAAUGGAGUCCAAAAAUGACCUUUAUGAAAGUAAAAACAAAGUUAGUACCUUUGUUUAAGUAAAGUACGUUAUUGCAAAGGCACUCAUGUACCUUCGCAACACAUUCUGCUCAUACUUUUUCAGCCCCAGCUGUGUGAUGGAGGCCAUGAAGGCAAACUGGAUGUGUACUAAGUAGUUUAUGAACUAACAGAUAAAGCAUGACCUAGAUACCUUCUAAUCAAUGCCCGAAAGCUAAAGAUACUGAUGAAGAACUCAAUGUCUUUAGCGAAAGGGACAUUGUUUCUGGCUGAGAUCAGGAGCAGCUUUGUUGACGAGGUGGUAUCUGAACAAGAUUUGAAAUGCUGAGGCUGGGUUGAAAAUGCAGAAGAAUAGAGGCUGGUUCUGGGACGGGUGGUUGGGUGCAUUUCAACACCCACAGCAGAAGGCCCAGUGGUUCACUGUAGGGGAUGGUGUGGAUCAGAAGCAGAGAGCACGUGGACACACUGGGUCAGAUCGAGGCUCCUGUCUCUCUCCAUCUUCCCUCUUCCCACCCCACAGAACUGUCUAGUUCCACCCACCAUGCCGUGCCCCUUUCCAUGCAUCCAUGCAUUUAUACAUGGAUGUAUGCCCUUUUUUGCCUGGCAAAGAUUCCCAGUCUUCAAAACGCCCCAGAGAUCACUGCUUCUGGGCAGCCCACCACGUCUGGGCCGAGCCUGCCUCUUUAUUGCACCUGUUGUACCAUGAUGACAUUUUUCUGUCUGCCUCACCUGUCUGCAUCCCUUAGAGAACUUUGUCUGCCUUCAGAAUCAUCAGUGGAGCUUUUGAAAGGGCACAUCAGGGCUCCAAUCCAGGAGAUCCAAUUCAGCAGGUCUGUGGGGACUGAGACAUGGCAGGGAAACUGCCCACCAUCUCAAGGGUGAGGCUAGGACUUGGCUAGUGUGUAUGUAUUCCAUCCAGAAAUAUUUAGUAAACAUUCCCUGAAUGAAAUAAACAUACCACAAAGUGUGAAGCAUGAUACCCACAGGGUAAGCCAGUCAGGAUACAGGAUAAAUACAUUAUUAGGAUGGCUUUGCUGCUCUGGUCAUCCUAAAACAAUAGGGUUUAGGGUGUGUAGGGUCAGGCCCUACAAGUUCGUGGGGUGUCCCCUAUCGCUGUGCUGAGGCGCUGGAUCCAAGAAAUAAAGAGAGAAAACACAGAAGGACAAAGAAAGCUCAGCUGGGCUCGGGGGUCCACAUCAUUUGCAAGCGAAGACAGGCAAGAGGCCCCGAAUGUCCAGGAACGUCUGUUUAUUGGGUAUAGGUUAGGGUGCAGGGUGGUCAGUGAGGUCAUCUUAAGAACAGUGAUAGGGUCAAGACAAUCACGUGUGCAAUAAGCAAAGGGUCCACCUCCAUUAGGUCACCGAGGCAAGGAGGUGGGCCGUGUGCAGUGAAGAGGGUACAGUGUGCUAUAUCUCUUAUUUAGGGGCAGGCUACUUGUAAGGAAUUCUAUAGGAGGAUGCUUUGAGUCAGCACAGCAGCAACAGAGCUGACAGGGUCUGCAGCCACCUGCUGGCAGCUCCCAGUGAUUGCUAUAGGAGGAUGCUUUGAAUCAGCACAGUAGCUAGAGAUUUGACAGGCUAUACAGACACCAAGGCGCGAUUAUACCGGAGGGGUUUGAAGCCCUCAGACGCUCACAGGCUUGCCCAUCUGAGGCCAGCCUUCCACAGGAACUGGACGCAAGGUCCUGCAUCUCCUUUUCAGGAGAGGCUCUCGCCCCAAGCCUGCCAUACAGCGGGUAUCUUCACGAUACUGAACACUGCCGCCUGGGCCAUGUUCUUGUCCUGGUAAAACUGUUUUCCUCAUAAUUCAUGCUCUGUACCAUGUCUGCUCUAGACAUUCCUCCGACUACAAACUAAGAUAUGAUUAUAUAUAAAAGGAUUAUAUAGAAAGAAAUAAGUGAGCAGUAAAUUAUUCUUUAGGCACUAAUUGUGCUUGGUGUCUGCCUAGGUCUCCUUCCUCGGUGCCCAGAAGGGAUAUUACCCACAGGGUGUGUCUGUGUGUAUAUGUAUUUCAUUUUUGUUUUGGGGUUUUGUUGAGACAAGGUCUUACUUUCUCACCCGGGGUGGACUGAUCACGGCUCACUGCAGCCUCAAAUGCCGAGGCUCAGAUGAUCCUCCUGCGCCAGCCUCCAGUGUAGAUGGAGCUACAGGAAUGCACCAUUAAGCCUGGCUAAUUUUAAAAUGCUUUGUAGGCUGGGCACGGUGGCUCACGCCUGUAAUCCUAGCACAUUGGGAGGCUGAGGCAGGUGGAUCAUCGGAGGUUAGGAGUUCAAGACCAGCUUGGCCAACAUGGUGAAAGCCUGUCUCUACUAAAAAUACAAGAAUUAGCGAGGCGUGGUGGUGCACACCUGUGAUCCCAGCUACUAGGGAGGCCAAGGCAGGAAAAUUACUUGAACCCAGGACAUGGGUGAGCUGAGAUUGUGCCACUGCACUCCAGCCCAGGCCAACAGAGUGAGACCAAAUUUGUUUUUUGUUUCGUUCUGUUUUGUUUAAUGUUUUGUACAAACAGGGUCUUGCUAUGUUGCCCAGGCUGGCCCUGAACUCCUAGCCUCAAGCAAUCCUCCUGCCUCAGCAUCCCAAAGCACUGGGAUUGCAGGUGUGAUCUGUCUCUGGCCCAUAGGAAGAUAUUCUAUGUGACUGAUAGUAAAAUGAAACAGAUAUCGUUCUUGAAGGAUACGCACAGCAGUCAAUCUAAUUGUCAUUUGAUUCACAAGUAGCCCAGGAGUUGGGGAUUCCCAGGGCUGUGGUGCCAGCUGUAUACACUUGAUCUGUUAUUUGUACUAAUAUAUAACAAGAGACAGAUGAGACACACACUCCAGCCUGAUCUCAGUGAGGCUGAGAUCUGUCCUGUGUGACAUUUUUAUUGACAUUCCAGUAUUUGAGGGUCACACCAGAAAGCUGAGUCCAAAGAGGGCAAGUUGGUGGUCCCAAAUAAGUGGUUCUCAACUGAGGGCAGUUUUGCCCCACAAAGGGCAUUGGCAGUGUCUUCAUUGUCAGGACUUGGGAUCACUACUGGCACCUAGUGGCCAGAGGCAGAGACGCUGCUGAGCAUCCUCCAGCCACCCAUGUCAAAGGGUUAUUUAUGUCUGUAAUGUUGGUUAGGAAAUGGUGCUCUGGAUGAUGAGGUUUCCCUCUUUUCUCCCUGGAGGAAAAUGCUCAUUGUUUCCACUCUGUGAGGGUGGGAGCCUUGUUUCUUUUGCUUCCCGGACCCUCCCUGCCAAGCUGUGUGACAGCUGUUUCCCUGACACCUGUAACAGUGUCUCAUGCACGCAGUCAAUGCUCAGUACAUAUCUGUGGGAUGUAGCUGAAGGUAGCUGUCCCCUUUGGUGGGUGUUUUGCUAUAGACAGUGCUGCCUUGAACCUUGUACAACAGAACAUCUUUGUGGCCAUCUGAGCUUUUUUAAUUUUGGAAUUCAGGAAGUGGAAUUACUGGGUCAAAAAGCACAUGUAUCGAAAUUUUGUUAGAUGUGUUUGCAAAAAGUUAUUGAAGAUAUUCAGCCCGGCCAGGCGCGGUGGCUCAUGCCUGUAAUUCCAGCACUUCAGGAGGCUGAGGUGGGCAGAUCAGUUGAGGUCAGGAGUUCAAGACCAGCUGGGACAACAUAGUGAAACCCCAUCUCUACUAAAAAUCCAAAAAUUAACCAGGCAUGGUAGCACAUGCCUGUAAUCCCAGCUCCCUGGGAGGCUAAGGCAGGAGAAUCACUUGAACCUGGGAGUGGGAGGUUGCAGUGAGCUGAGAUCGUGCCACUGCACUCCAGGCUGGACAACAGAGCAAGACCCUAUCUCUCAAAAAAAAAAAAAAAAAAAAAAAAAAGAUAUUCAGCCCUACUCCUAGGUACAUACCCCUGGAGAAGCUCAUACACAUACACUCAUACAUUUGUGGAGGUUCAGAGCAGACCUUAGGAGCAGAAGGUUGGAAACUACCUGUCUAUCAACGGGAGACUGGUGUACUCAUUCUGCAGAGAAACCCAAGAACUCCACGUCAAUGUGGAGAAAAUUUGCAAAGCAAAAUGAAGAAACCUGAAGAAGCCCUAUCACGUUGUAGGAGAUAUUUAUAUAAAGUAUUAAAACAUUUCAGAACUGAACUGUAUAUUUUUAGAAAUAUCUGAAUAUGCCAUUCACAUAUUUAAAAAGCAGAAGAAUGCUGACCACACUCAGGACAGGGGAGGACACAGGCAUGCAGCCUGGGCAGGAGGAACCUGGGUAACAUUGUUCUUUAUGGCUUUUUUGUGGCUUCCAGAAUUUCAUUACAAACUUCUAAAAACAUGGACCCACAUUAUGAAUUAUAUCUGAUUUUAGCGUACUAAAAACUCCAAGCAAAAACACAUGUCAUGAAAUCAACUUAGUGGAUCAUGACUAGCAUUUUUUUUAAAGUAAUGUAGAAUAGGGCCAGGUGCGGUGGCUCAUGCCUGUAAUCCCAGCACUUUGGGAGGCCGAGGCAGGUGGAUCACUUGAGGU